GAUCACGUGAUCAGCAGCAAACGAACCGAGCACCGAUACAUUUGCUUCGCCUUGCACUGGUUCAUAUUUCGACACAAGCUUCGAAGCAGGAGGGUCGGAGGAGCUGUGGUCUCCCCCUGUUCAUUCCUGAAGGGUGUGGCUGGAACAGCGGACGGCAUUCAGCCAUCAGGGGACUCUCAUAUCAUCCCGGGUCUUCCUGCCAUUCAGCGCCAGAUCGUUCCAACGUCAGAGUGGUAAACUACUUUUUCAGGCCAUCUGGCUGCUCGCUGUGGAUUAGACGCUGUCUUUGUUUCUGUUCUUUUUCUGUUUUUGCCCUAGUGCUUGAGGAUUCCUACCUGCCGGCUGGCAGGCUCUCAGAGUCCGGUCUCCCCCCCCCGACUCAACCGGUACCUGUGUGCCAAAUUGUGUGUGUACGAUCUGAAUAAACACCUUGUUUUCACGUCGGAAGAACCUUCCUUUGAGUCCUGUGUGCUGCGCUUGGGCCCACGCCCAUCUACCUCACCGUAACUGUCAGGGGUGCCUGGGGAAGGCCGGACUCAAGAUCCAGACUUAACCAAAAAGACUUUAAUAGUCAAAAAAGGCCACAAAGCAAAAGGCCAAUGGGCAAAAACACACACAGGAACUGGGGGCAAAAAGGCACACAGGAACCGAGAACAUCCAGGACGAUAGACAAUGACGCGACAAGUGACACAAGAGACACACGGCUUAAAUAUACCUGGGAGGUGAAGGUGAUUGGACACAGGUGGAAACAAUCAGACAAUUACAGGGGAUGACAGGACCAGGCAGGAAGUGAAGUUACCCAGGGAGACAAUAAGCAGAAAACUACAAAAUAAGACAGGAAAUAAAACCACACCGUGACAGUAACAGAUUAUCCCUGUUUAACUGAUGUUGUCUGAUUGUGUACUAUCAACCUGAAUUGAAUUAAUUAUAUGACUAUUGAUUGUUUCCUUUUAAAUGCCAUCGGAAAUAUACUAGAAUUUGGCUCCCAAAUUACAUUUUGACAGGAUUUAAUUUUGAAAUGCUACAUCCGAAUGUCCUGAUUAUCCAAAACUAAUAUAAAUUGAACAAAAGUUGGCUCAUGAAUGAGAUUUUAAAGGAAGUUGGCUCAUGUAUAACAUUGUUUGAAAUGCUACAUAAGAAUAGGUAUUUCUUGAUAUUUUCUGGUCUGUCUGAAUGAAUUAUUUCUAUAUGUAUUUGAAUAAUUACACAAUUGACAUAACAUUAUCAUUUAUAGACUAUAUAUCUAGUUCUUAGAUAGAUAGAUAGAUAGAUAGGUACUUUAUUGAUCCCUCAAGAGGGAAAUGUUGGUAUCACAGCAGCAUGUACAGGGAAGAAAAUAGAAUAAAAAGAUACACAUUAUAUACAAUAUAAUAAGAUAGAAAUAUUAAAUUAUUAUAUUAAAUUAAAUAAACUAAAACUGAAACAAAAGAAUAACCUUCCAAAAGAGACAAUAAUAAUAAUUUGUAAAAGGAGAAGAGGAAGAUGAAGAGCAGCAACAUCACAGCAGUACAGGGUUAUUAUUGUCAUUAUUUAGCCUGGGAUGAUUUAUUGUAAAGUGUUAUUGCACUGGGCAGGAAUGAUCUCCUGUAUCAGUCCUUGUGACAGCGGAGCUGAAGGAGUCUGUUGGAGAACGCGCUCCGCUGUCCCUGUAGCAGGUGGUGAAGGGGG
ensembl:lncRNA